UAAACCCAGGAUUACCUCCCCUACUCUUUUAAAUGUAAAUUUUUAGAAUACUAAGUUAGUAUAAGUUAUGUUCUUUAAAAUUAAAAAAUUUGGCGGUAUUUUAGUCUUUUCAGAGGAACCUGUCCUGUAAUUGAUAGUCCACGAUUAGAUAGACUUUAUUUAUCAGUUUACAUAUCGUUGUAGUUUGAAUAUUUUAUAAGAAGUUAAAUGUUCAGAAAUUUUAAUUAAAAAAAAAAUCAGAUCAAGGUGUAGUUUAUAAUAAAGAAGAGGUGGGUUACAUUAAAUUUAUUUCAAGGAUAAUCUUUUUAAAGAACCUGAAUUUGGAUUGAAAGUAAUUAUAUAAAUUUAUAUAUAAUGAUUAAGCUCUAAAAUAUGCACAUAUCGCCCGCG
rnacentral:rRNA from 1 species